rnacentral:rRNA from 1 species
UAGGGAAUCUUCCGCAAUGGACGCAAGUCUGACGGAGCAACGCCGCGUGAGUGAAGAAGGAUUUCGGUUCGUAAAACUCUGUUGUUAGAGAAGAACAGCGCAUAGAGUAACUGUUAUGCGUGUGACGGUAUCUAACCAGAAAGCCACGGCUAACUACGUGCCAGCAGCCGCGGUAAUACGUAGGUGGCAAGCGUUGUCCGGAUUUAUUGGGCGUAAAGCGAGCGCAGGCGGUCAAUUAAGUCUGAUGUGAAAGCCCCCGGCUCAACCGGGGAGGGUCAUUGGAAACUGGUUGACUUGAGUGCAGAAGAGGAUAGUGGAAUUCCAUGUGUAGCGGUGAAAUGCGUAGAUAUAUGGAGGAACACCAGUGGCGAAGGCGAUUCUCUGGUCUGUAACUGACGCUGAGGCUCGAAAGCGUGGGUAGCAAACAGG